UACAGAGGGUGCGAGCGUUAAUCGGAAUUACUGGGCGUAAAGGGCUCGUAGGCGGCCAACUAAGUCGGAUGUGAAAUCCCCAGGCUCAACCUGGGAACUGCAUCCGAUACUGGAUGGCUUGAAUCCGGGAGAGGGAUGCAGAAUUCCAGGUGUAGCGGUGAAAUGCGUAGAUAUCUGGAGGAAUACCGGUGGCGAAGGCGGCAUCCUGGACCGGCAUUGACGCUGAGGAGCGAAAGCUAGGGGAGCAAACGGG
rnacentral:rRNA from 1 species